AGCAAACACCUGGCCACACCGGCAGCUAAUCCCACAGACACCUAGUGCGUGCGCCCUGCCCAGUGAGGUUCCCCAUGCCACCAGGGAGUCCCCCUGGGGGCCAAGAUGAGGCUGAGGAGCUCCAGGAGACAUUCUUUUCCAUAGGAAUGGGAGAUACUUACUAAGACACAUCAGCUUUGAGCUGCCGCCAAGCCACAUGGACCUUGGAGGUUAGGAGUGAGGGUCCCACCCUUUCCUCCCAGAAAAACACACAGCCAAUGCUCUGAGAACCGUGGGACCCUCACUGACAGGCAAUGAAGCUCCAUGACCUCAGGAACUCCAUGAGAAGAGGCAUUUCUGACUUCAUGGUGCCCUCCUUCCAGAAGAGUAUGAAAAAAUUCUGUUUUUCAAAUGUGUUGAUAAAGAGAACAGUGUGUUAAUAUUAUAUGUGAAAUAAUCUCUUUGACCUAAAUGUUCUUUUUUUUCUCUCUCUCUCCUUAAAAUGCUAAUAGUAACUGCCACCCUUGUGAGAGCAUGGUGGCAAGGGGAAGCAAAGGCAGUGGUGAGAUCUUGGAGACAAUAUAGGUGAGGAAUAGAACAUGGGGGUAUCGUGAUCCACAUGGGAAGCGAGACACACAGCGUAAGUGUGUGGGGAAGACUGACAGGCCAGUGUGUGACCCAUGGAGGGGGUCAGUCCCUGAGACUUGCUUCCACACAAGUGCUCCUACCUAUGUCUAUCCUGUGACCCAAGGCAGACCCAUGGCUACUUCUACAGUGAGUUAUCAAUUGGAAGACUGCUUCCCUGACCCUAUGGCUGGCUGGCUGUUUGUGCUGGGCCCUGUGUUCCCUUCUUCCUCAGCACCACCGCUGCGUCUCAGGUGUUCCCUGAACACCUGCUCAAGUCCACCCCAACUGUGAUACUUCAGUGGCACCUUAAACCUACUCAUUCAGACAUGAUCGUGUCUACCCAUGACUGCGGCUGCGGGAGGAAGGAGAGGAGGGUCACAGUCCUGUACAGAUCCCAGGGGACACCAUGCCUGCUUCUGGCCUCUGGCCCAGCUGAGUAGUGUCACCGCUUGGCUCCAGGCCACUCUGCAGACUCUCUGGACUUCGGCAGCUUCCUUCUCAAGGGCAGACGUGGGAGCUGUUUCGGAGGUGGCACAACCUUGAGUGUGUGUGAAGGCUGCUGCACACAGCAAAGUUCUGCCCCUGGUGUGAGGAUUGGGUGGAGGGAACAGGGGAAAUGAGCAGUAAAUGAGGGCGCUUGAGGAUGCUUCUGUUCUGGAAACUAUUCAGAGAUCCUUUCAGGACUAGUUUGCAAACCAUGGGCACCAGUAACUAUCACAGUGGGAGAUAGGGCCUUAGCCAUAUCAAAUCUUUGUCCAGCUCCUCCUGUGAGCCAGUGCUCAUUCAGUCCUUAUCUGCCCAUUCAUUCAUUCAUAUUCAUUCAUUCAUUCAUUCAUAUACAUUCAUUUACUCAUUCAUUUAUUCACUAAUUCACUGAUUCAAUCAUUCAUUCACUCCAAUUUUUUUUCAUUCUAUCAUCAUGCAUCCUUGGAGCUGCCCUGUAUUGAGGCAGACACAUCUGAAAUACAAAUGACUCAAGCACAAAAUGGGUUCCUGUCUGGUCAAUGUCCAGUGUGGGGAGUGCCCCAAACCCUCUCCAUCUUGCCCAUUCUCUGUGUGUCCCUGAGAGAAGGUGGGCAGAGCUUAGUGGGGAUGGCUACUUUAAGGGAUGUUAGAUGUUCACAGAGCAUUUUCCCCUGUGAAGUCUGUCAUGUUUCAGUACACAUUUCAGUUUCAUAAUAAAUAGACGGAUGCUCAAAUAUUGCAUUGCUUCUCCCCCAAUGAUAGACUUUGUGUAAUUAUUUCUGUCGUCAACCUGAGUUGACACAGUAAUUGGGAAACCAGCUGGAUACUGUUCAUAAGGAAAGUUAAUUAAUUAAAUUUUAAACUAUUUUUUAUUCCCUUCCUUUUUUAAAAAAAUGGUUAAAACUAAUUAAUAUAUGUGUAUGAUAAAUUUUAAGCAGGAUAAAGGUGAUAAAAAAAACUGGAGACAAUCUUUCUCUGCCCUAUCUUACACAUGUAGUCUUUCAGAAAAUGAUUUUCA
rnacentral:lncRNA from 1 species